CUUUUAUGGAGAGUUUGAUCCUGGCUCAGGACGAACGCUGGCGGCGUGCCUAAUACAUGCAAGUCGAGCGAACAGAGAAGGAGCUUGCUCCUUUGACGUUAGCGGCGGACGGGUGAGUAACACGUGGGCAACCUACCUUAUAGUUUGGGAUAACUCCGGGAAACCGGGGCUAAUACCGAAUAAUCUAUUUUACUUCAUGGUGAAAU
rnacentral:rRNA from 1 species